rnacentral:lncRNA from 1 species
UUUCUUUUUUCCUCUUAUUCUUAUUCUCCUUCUUCUUGUUUUCUUCUCUUCUUCUUCUUCGUCUUCUUCUUCUUCUUCUUCUUCUUCUUCUUAUUUUCUUUUUCCUCUUACUCUUCUCUUCCUCUCCUAUUUUUCUUCUUCUUCUUGUUCUUGUUCUUUCUUCUCCUUCCCUUCCUUUUCCUUCUUCUUCUUUUCCUUCUUCUUCUCCUUUCUCCUUCUUCUUCUUCUCC